AGAGCAUCUUCAGAUUUCAGCUCUCUUGAAUUCCUAAAAAUAAAGCCUAAGAGCUUUAACGCCUCAGAACAAAUGGUGGUAAUGUGGGUAUUAAAGUUCAGUUUAGAAUCAAACGUUAAGCCAAGGUCCUUAAUCAUCACACAACGUUUAAGCGAACAAUUAUUUAUAACAUAAUUAUGCAAUUGCGUAACCUGCUUACGAGAGAACGACAUCACACUACACUUAUCCACAUUAAGAUUUAAUUUGUUAGACAGCGACCAAUUGACGAGUAAGUUUAACUUAUACUGCAGAUCACGUGCAUCACUCAAAGUCUCAAUUUUAUUAAAUAUUUUUAUGUCAUCCGCAUAACCAAGGGCACAAUCACCAAGGGAUGAAAGUAUAUCAUUACAAAAUAUAAUAAACAAGAGUGGGCCGAGGUUUGACCCCUGUGGCACUCCCGAGGACACUUUGUAAUAAUCCGAUUUGAAGUUCUUAUAACAUACACAUUGACGACGAUCAGUAAGUUUUUCAGCUUAUUUAUGAGUAACCUAUGACAAACGUUGUCAAACGCCUUGGAGAAGUCGGUGUAAAUGACGCCCACUUGAGAUACAGAACCAAAAGCAUCCAUUAUGAACUCAGUGAAGCAAGUCAAGUUGGUUACAGUCGAGCGACCCUGAAGAAAUCCAUGCUGGUUGCUUGAGAAAUAAUCUUUACAUUGACCAAACAAGAUGUUAUAUACACAUGACUCGAGUACUUUAGCAAAGUUACUGAGUAUAGAGAUAGGUCUAUAGUUUUGAAUCACUGAUUUAUCACCCUUUUUAAAAAUUGGUAGCACCUGCGCCGUUUUCCAUCUGGUGGGAAAUACAUGGGACGAUAUGGAUAAAUUAAAAAUGCGCGCCAGAGGCUGCGCUAGGCAAUAUUGGCAGUCCCUCACUAGGAAGCUCGGAAUGCUAUCUUCACCACUUAUGAAAGUUGUCGGGAGUUUACCACACACAGUUAAAACAUCCUCUACAGUUAUCCAUUCAGAGAGAAAAAUUUUAUCACCUUUAUGAAGUUUAUCUGGGUCAGCGGAGUCCACAGCAAAGCUGUUAGCGAAGUAAGAUGCGAAUGCAUUGACAAUCCUUGCAGGAUCAUCCAACUUUUCGUUGUCGACACCAAUCAUGACGCUAGGUAUCCGCGAAACGCCACGACGGGAUUGUACAAACUUCCAAAAAUUUUUGGGAUCAGUAGAGAUUGAUUCUCCGGUGCUCUUCAAAUAAGCAUAAUACGCCUUUCUUGACUCCUUUUUCACUUCACGCCUUAAGUAUUGAUAGUUAGCGUAAUCAAGACUGUCACCAGUUAAUCUCCAUUUUUUUAAUAACCGCCGUUUACGACGUUCCAGCGACUUCAGAUGUUUAUUAAACCAGGAAGGGUGUCGAUUGGUAUUAGCUGGGACCGUCCGCGGGACGGAUACAUUCAUAGUGCGAUACAACUUUUCAUAAAACGCAUCUACCAUCUGCUCAACAUCAGUAAUAUGAUCCAAGAACGACCAAUUAAUGGCACCAAUAUCACAAUAGAGUUUUGUAAGUUUUGGUAUGCGGCGGAAGCCUACGGCUCAAGGUUAUAGCAAUUGCAGGAUGAUGGGAAUCUUCCUUUACGAUGGGCAGUGAUUCACGGGCGACAGCGCAAUGGACAUUUGUUAUUACCAGGUCCAGCAGUCUCAAGUUGGCAUUAAGAACAUAGUUGUACUGCUCAAAACCAGCUGCAUUCAAGAAGUCCUUACAUGCCGUAGACUUAGGAUCCUCUGUGUGAUUAUCACAAAAAUACGGAACAUUGAAAUCGCCUAAUAUUACAGUCCUAUUGCCACACACCAUGUACUCAAGAACAUAAGUUAAUUUUAGCUUAGAUUUGUGAAGUAUGUCAUGCAAUAAAACUCAUUCUUGGUAUGUAA